UACGUAGGGGGGCAAGCGUUGUCCGGAAUCAUUGGGCGUAAAGAGCGUGUAGGCGGCUCGAUAAGUCCGCUGUGAAAGUCCAGGGCUCAACCCUGGAAGGCCGGUGGAAACUGUCGGGCUAGAGUCCGGAAGAGGCGAGUGGAAUUCCCGGUGUAGCGGUGAAAUGCGCAGAUAUCGGGAGGAACACCAAUGGCGAAGGCAGCUCGCUGGGACGGUACUGACGCUGAGACGCGAAAGCGUGGGGAGCGAACAGG
rnacentral:rRNA from 1 species